rnacentral:lncRNA from 1 species
CAUUUAUUUAAUUGCAAUAACAAAACAUGCAUUGUUGUCAAUAAGAGAUUGCACUACAUGGCUCCUUUAUUCUCAAAUCCCUCAGUAAACAAUGAACAUCAAUGGAGAAUUUAUUGUGCAACAGGGUCUUUUUUGCUGACAUUAUUUAAUUAAAAUCAGGAGUUAUUUGGUGCUUUUCAUCCUACUUGCUCUCUCUCUAUCUGCCCCUCUGAUCAUUGGCCUCUUUAAUAGACUUCGUCACACGUGUCAUUAAAAAUCAGGUGUCAAGUCAUGACACAUUGGCUGUAAAGAUCAAUUUAUUAGCUUUCAGACACUGUUAGAAUUUAUUCAAUAGAUCAUUUAUUGGCGGAGUUAUGACAGUUUAAAGCAGCCUAAUGUGAUUUCGGUGCUACGUUCAGGGUCCGUGGGACACCAGUAUUUACCAUGAAUAUUACGCACCGGACAGGACUUUAUAAGUGGUAAUGAGCUGGUAAAACAAACGUAUAGUCACCCCAUGUAAAUAUUUUAUUUUUAGAGGUCAUAAAAUGUUUAAAUAUCCCACAAUAAUGCUCACAAAUAAAAAAUAAAAAAAUGGGCCGUGUAACUUGUUCAGUUUUGUACGCGUGUCCGUGAACUGACGUCAGAGCCAUGGCAACGAGGAGGAUGCGACUUUUAAAGUCACCUGUUAACGUCCAACGUUCACUGUGAGCAGCGAGACGAGAGAGGAGAGCUGUGAACAACUUUGAGCUGAGAAACAUUUACAAAACACACAGAAAGUCUUUACGAGACUUUUACCAGACCAGAGGAAGACUUGAGACCAGGACCAGAAGAAGACUUUAUACCAGGACCAGAAGAAGACUUUAUACCAGGAGGAGAAGAAGACGUUAGACCAGUAAGUGACCAUGGCCCCGCGCAUGGCCCAAGAUUUAGUCCAUGAGUGGGCCUCACCUGAGGGUUUGGUUCCACCCUGGGUCGAGGCUCCGGCUUUGGCCCUGGACUUGUACGACCCCCUGGGUUCGGACCCAGAGGUGGUCGACCCAGACUGGGUCGACCACCUGGGUUUAGACCCAGUGUGGGUCGACCACCUGGGUUUAGACCCAGAGUGGGCCGACCACCUGGGUUUAGACCCAGAGUUGGUCGACCCAGACUGUGUCGAACCCCUGGGUUCGGACCCAGAGUGGGCCGACACUCUGGGUUCUGAUCCAGUGUGGGUCGACCCCCUGGGUUUAGACCCAGAGUGGGCCGACCCUCUGGGUUCUGAACCAGUGUGGGUCGACCUCCUGGGUUUAGACCCAGAGUGGGCCCAACUUCCUGUCCUAAUAGAGGCAGCUGAGUUUGACAUGUUUGCUUGUAAUAUUUCUGAGUUCUUUGUUUACAGUGACCCUGACAGUGAAGGUGUGGAUCUGCACUUGGACGUGGAACACUGAGGAGUCUCCAGCUCUAUCCAUAGUUGUAUUUGCACCAAGCAUGUGGGAUGAACGAGGGAAGAAAAGAUGGAGGACAGGAGGAGACAUCAACAGAGGACGGAGA